rnacentral:rRNA from 1 species
UACGGAGGAGGCAAGCGUUAUCCGGAAUUAUUGGGCGUAAAGCGUCCGCAGGUGGCACUUCAAGUCUGUCGUCAAAGACUGGGGCUUAACCCUGGAAAGGCGGUGGAAACUGAAGCGCUAGAGUGCGGUAGGGGUAGAGGGAAUUCCCGGUGUAGUGGUGAAAUGCGUAGAUAUCGGGAGGAACACCAGUGGCGAAGGCGACUUUCUGGCCUGUUCUUGACGCUGAGGCGCGAAAGCUAGGGUAGCAAACGGG